CUACGGGGUGCUGCAGUGAGGAAUUUUGCGCAAUGGGGGAAACCCUGACGCAGCAACGCCGCGUGAGUGAUGAAGGCCUUCGGGUCGUAAAACUCUGUCAAGUGGGAAGAACCUAUCCUGUGCUAAUAUCACAGGGUACUGACGGUACCACUGAAGGAAGCACCGGCUAACUCCGUGCCAGCAGCCGCGGUAAUACGGAGGGGUGCAAGCGUUAUUCGGAAUUAUUGGGCGUAAAGGGCGCGUAGGCGGCCAUGUAAGUCAGAUGUGAAAGCCCUGGGCUCAACCCAGGAAGUGCAUUUGAUACUGUAUGGCUUGAGUAUGGGAGAGGGAAGUGGAAUUCCUGGUGUAGAGGUGAAAUUCGUAGAUAUCAGGAGGAACACCGGUGGCGAAGGCGACUUCCUGGACCAAUACUGACGCUGAGGCGCGAAGGCGUGGGUAGCAAACAGGAUUAGAUACCCUUGUAGUC
rnacentral:rRNA from 1 species